rnacentral:rRNA from 1 species
UGGUAGUNCACGCCCUAAACGAUGUCGAUUAGCUGUUGGGCAGCAUGACUGCUUAGUAGCGAAGCUAACGCGUGAAAUCGACCGCCUGGGGAGUACGGUCGCAAGAUUAAAACUCAAAGGAAUUGACGGGGACCCGCACAAGCGGUGGAUGAUGUGGAUUAAUUCGAUGCAACGCGAAGAACCUUACCUGGUCUUGACAUGUACGGAACCCUUCAGAGACGGAGGGGUGCCUUCGGGAGCCGUAACACAGGUGCUGCAUAGCUGUCGUCAGCUCGUGUCGUGAGAUGUUGGGUUAAGUCCCGCAACGAGCGCAACCCUUGUCAUUAGUUGCCAUCAUUAAGUUGGGCACUCUAAUGAGACUGCCGGUGACAAGCCGGAGGAAGGUGGGGAUGACGUCAAGUCCUCAUGGCCCUUAUGACCAGGGCUUCACACGUCAUACAAUGGUCGGUACAGAGGGUAGCCAAGCCGCGAGGCGGAGCCAAUCUCACAAAACCGAUCGUAGUCCGGAUUGCACUCUGCAACUCGAGUGCAUGAAGUCGGAAUCGCUAGUAAUCGCAGGUCAGCAUACUGCGGUGAAUACGUUCCCGGGUCUUGUACAC